GAUGAACGCUAGCUACAGGCUUAACACAUGCAAGUCGAGGGGCAGCAUGAACAUAGCUUGCUAUGUUUGAUGGCGACCGGCGCACGGGUGCGUAACACGUAUCCAAUCUGCCCGGUACUCGGGGAUAGCCUUAUGAAAGGAAGAUUAAUACCCGAUGGCAUUCAUUGGCGGCAUCGCUUUUGAAUUAAAGAUUUAUCGGUAACGGAUGAGGAUGCGUACGAUUAGCUAGUUGGCGGGGUAACGGCCCACCAAGGCUACGAUCGUUAGGGGUUCUGAGAGGAAGGUCCCCCACACUGGAACUGAGACACGGUCCAGACUCCUACGGGAGGCAGCAGUGAGGAAUAUUGGUCAAUGGGCGAGAGCCUGAACCAGCCAAGUAGCGUGAAGGAUGACUGCCCUACGGGUUGUAAACUUCUUUUGUUUGGGAAUAAAAGACGCUACGUGUAGCGUUCUGCAUGUACCUUACGAAUAAGCAUCGGCUAAUUCCGUGCCAGCCGCCGCUGUAAAAC
rnacentral:rRNA from 1 species